rnacentral:rRNA from 1 species
UGGGGAAUUUUGGACAAUGGGCGCAAGCCUGAUCCAGCAAUGCCGCGUGCAGGAUGAAGGCCUUCGGGUUGUAAACUGCUUUUGUACGGAACGAAAAGCCUCUCUCUAAUACAGGGGGGUGAUGACGGUACCGUAAGAAUAAGCACCGGCUAACUACGUGCCAGCAGCCGCGGUAAUACGUAGGGUGCAAGCGUUAAUCGGAAUUACUGGGCGUAAAGCGUGCGCAGGCGGUUUUGUAAGACAGUGGUGAAAUCCCCGGGCUCAACCUGGGAACUGCCAUUGUGACUGCAAGGCUGGAGUGCGGCAGAGGGGGAUGGAAUUCCGCGUGUAGCAGUGAAAUGCGUAGAUAUGCGGAGGAACACCGAUGGCGAAGGCAAUCCCCUGGGCCUGCACUGACGCUCAUGCACGAAAGCGUGGGGGGCAAACAGGAUUAGAUACCCUGGUAGUCCACGCCCUAAGCGAUGUCAACUGGUUGUUGGGGAUUUAUUUCUUCAGUAACGAAGCUAACGCGU